UACGGAGGGUGCGAGCGUUGUUCGGAAUCACUGGGCGUAAAGGGCGCGCAGGCGGCUGCUCAAGUCAGGCGUGAAAGGCCUGGGCUCAACCCGGGAAUUGCGCUUGAGACUGGGCUGGCUUGAGUGCGGGAGAGGAUGGUGGAAUUCCCAGUGUAGAGGUGAAAUUCGUAGAUAUUGGGAAGAACACCGAUGGCGAAGGCAGCCAUCUGGACCGACACUGACGCUGAGGCGCGAAAGCGUGGGGAGCAAACAGG
rnacentral:rRNA from 1 species